rnacentral:rRNA from 1 species
GCCUACGGGGGGCAGCAGUGAGGAAUAUUGGUCAAUGACCGGAAGGCUGAACCAGCCAAGCCGCGUGAAGGACGAAGGUGCCAAGCAUUGUAAACUUCUUUUGUCAAGGGACAAAAUCAGGCUCGAGAGCCUGACCGAGGGUACUUGAAGAAAAAGCAUCGGCUAACUCCGUGCCAGCAGCCGCGGUAAUACGGAGGGUGCGAGCGUUAUCCGGAUUUAUUGGGUUUAAAGGGUGCGUAGGCGGGCUGUUAAGUCAGCGGUAAAAGCCCGGGGCUCAACCCCGGCGCGCCGUUGAAACUGGCUGU